AGCGAACGCUGGCGGCAGGCCUAACACAUGCAAGUCGAACGAACUCUUCGGAGUUAGUGGCGGACGGGUGAGUAACACGUGGGAACGUGCCUUUUGGUUCGGAAUAACUCAGGGAAACUUGUGCUAAUACCGCAUGUGCCCUUCGGGGGAAAGAUUUAUCGCCAUUAGAGCGGCCCGCGUCUGAUUAGCUAGUUGGUGAGGUAACGGCUCACCAAGGCGACGAUCAGUAGCUGGUCUGAGAGGAUGACCAGCCCCACUGGGACUGAGACACGGCCCAGACUCCUACGGGAGGCAGCAGUGGGGAAUCUUGCGGAAUGGGCGAAAGCCUGACGCAGCCAUGCCGCGUGAAUGAUGAAGGUCUUAGGAUUGUAAAAUUCUUUCACCGGGGACGAUAAUGACGGUACCCGGAGAAGAAGCCCCGGCUAACUUCGUG
rnacentral:rRNA from 1 species